GACGAACGCUGGCGGCGUGCUUAACACAUGCAAGUCGAACGGAAAGGCCCCUUUGGGGGUACUCGAGUGGCGAACGGGUGAGUAACACGUGCGUAACCUGCCCUUGACUUCGGGAUAACUUCAGGAAACUGGGGCUAAUACCGGAUAGGAAUCCUUGCUGCAUGGUGGGGGUUGGAAAGCUUCGGCGGUUUUGGAUGGACUCGCGGCUUAUCAGCUUGUUGGUGGGGUAGUGGCUUACCAAGGCUUUGACGGGUAGCCGGCCUGAGAGGGCGACCGGCCACCUUGGGACUGAGAUACGGCCCAGACUCCUACGGGAGGCAGCAGUGGGGAAGAUUGCACAAUGGGCGGAAGCCUGAUGCAGCAACGCCGCGUGCGGGAUGACGGCCUUCGGGUUGGAAACCGCUUUCAGCAGGGGCGAAGCUUGUGGUGACGGUACCUGCAGAAGAAGCACCGGCUAACUACGUG
rnacentral:rRNA from 1 species